GGGGAAUAUUGCACAAUGGGGGAAACCCUGAUGCAGCGACGCCGCGUGGAGGAAGAAGGUCUUCGGAUUGUAAACUCCUGUUGUUGAGGAAGAUAAUGACGGUACUCAACAAGGAAGUGACGGCUAACUACGUGCCAGCAGCCGCGGUAAAACGUAGGUCACAAGCGUUGUCCGGAAUUACUGGGUGUAAAGGGAGCGCAGGCGGGAAGACAAGUUGGAAGUGAAAUCCAUGGGCUCAACCCAUGAACUGCUUUCAAAACUGUUUUUCUUGAGUAGUGCAGAGGUAGGCGGAAUUCCCGGUGUAGCGGUGGAAUGCGUAGAUAUCGGGAGGAACACCAGUGGCGAAGGCGGCCUACUGGGCACCAACUGACGCUGAGGCUCGAAAGUGUGGGUAGCAAACAGGAUUAGAUACCCUGGUAGUCCACACCGUAAACGAUGAUUACUAGGUGUUGGAGGAUUGACCCCUUCAGUGCCGCAGUUAACACAAUAAGUAAUCCACCUGGGGAGUACGACCGCAAGGUUGAAACUCAAAGGAAUUGACGGGGGCCCGCACAAGCAGUGGAGUAUGUGGUUUAAUUCGACGCAACGCGAAGAACCUUACCAAGUCUUGACAUCCUGCGACGAUGCUGGAAACAGUAUUUUCCUUCGGGACGCAGAGACAGGUGGUGCAUGGUUGUCGUCAGCUCGUGUCGUGAGAUGUUGGGUUAAGUCCCGCAACGAGCGCAACCCUUACUGUCAGUUACUACGCAAGAGGACUCUGGCAGGACUGCCGUUGACAAAACGGAGGAAGGUGGGGAUGACGUCAAAUCAUCAUGCCCUUUAUGACUUGGGCUACACACGUACUACAAUGGCGUUAAACAAAGAGAAGCAAGACCGCGAGGUGGAGCAAAACUCAGAAACAACGUCCCAGUUCGGACUGCAGGCUGCAACUCGCCUGCACGAAGUCGGAAUUGCUAGUAAUCGUGGAUCAGCAUGCCACGGUGAAUACGUUCCCG
rnacentral:rRNA from 1 species